AAGCUGUGAUGAAACACUGCGCUCAAUGUGCUCUGGCUGGGUCCACACAAUCGUCUGAUUCAAGACGAGAUCACGCGCAGCUGAGCUU